AGAACGAACGCUGGCGGCAUGCCUAACACAUGCAAGUCGAACGAGACCUUCAGGUCUAGUGGCGCACGGGUGCGUAACGCGUGGGAAUCUACCCUUGGGUUCGGAAUAACAGUUGGAAACGACUGCUAAUACCGGAUGAUGUCGCAAGACCAAAGAUUUAUCGCCCAAGGAUGAGCCCGCGUAGGAUUAGCUAGUUGGUGAGGUAAAGGCUCACCAAGGCGACGAUCCUUAGCUGGUCUGAGAGGAUGAUCAGCCACACUGGGACUGAGACACGGCCCAGACUCCUACGGGAGGCAGCAGUGGGGAAUAUUGGACAAUGGGCGAAAGCCUGAUCCAGCAAUGCCGCGUGAGUGAUGAAGGCCUUAGGGUGUAAAGCUCUUUACCCGGAUGAUAAUGACAGUACCGGAGAAUAAGCUCCGGACUAACUCCGUGCCAGCAGCCGC
rnacentral:rRNA from 1 species